rnacentral:tRNA from 1 species
GCCCUCGUGGUGAAAUGGACAUCAUACUUGCCUUCGAAGCAAGGGUUUCAGGUUCGAGUCCUGGCGAGGGCA